rnacentral:rRNA from 1 species
AUAUCAAUAAGCGGAGGACAAGAAACCAACCGGGAUUGCCUUAGUAACGGCGAGUGAAGCGGCACAAGCUCAAAUUUGAAAUCUGGCCCUCGGGGCUCGAGUUGUAAUUUGGAGAGGAUGCUUCGGGUGCGGUGGCGGUCUAAGUCCCUUGGAACAGGGCGUCCUAGAGGGUGAGAAUCCCGUAUGCGACCGGCGACCAACCCCGUGUGAAGCUCCUUCGACGAGUCGAGUUGUUUGGGAAUGCAGCUCUAAAUGGGUGGUAAAUUUCAUCUAAAGCUAAAUACCGGCCAGAGACCGAUAGCGCACAAGUAGAGUGAUCGAAAGAUGAAAAGCACUUUGGAAAGAGAGUCAAAGAGUACGUGAAAUUGUUGAAAGGGAAGCGCUCGCAACCAGACCUGCCCGCGGGUGAUCAGCGGCGGGGUCUCCCGCCGUGCACUCGCCCGCGAUUAGGCCAGCAUCGGUUCCGGCGGCCGGAUAAAGACCUCGGGAAUGUGGCUCCCCCUGGGGAGUGUUAUAGUCUGGGGUGCAAUACGGCCAGCUUGGGACCGAGGACCGCGCUUCGGCUAGGAUGCUGGCGUAAUGGUCGUGAGCGACCCGUCUUGAAACACGGACCAAGGAGUCUAACAUCUAUGCGAGUGUUUGGGCGUCAACCCCAUGCGCGCAAUGAAAGUGAACGGAGGUGGGAGCCCUCGAGGGUGCACCAUCGACCGAUCCA